UACGGGGGGGGCAAGCGUUGUUCGGAAUUACUGGGCGUAAAGGGCUCGUAGGCGGCCAACUAAGUCAGACGUGAAAUCCCUCGGCUUAACCGGGGAACUGCGUCUGAUACUGGAUGGCUAGAGGUUGGGAGAGGGAUGCGGAAUUCCAGGUGUAGCGGUGAAAUGCGUAGAUAUCUGGAGGAACACCGGUGGCGAAGGCGGCUACCUGGACAGAAACUGACGCUGAGGCGCGAAAGCUAGGGGAGCAAACAGG
rnacentral:rRNA from 1 species